GACGAACGCUGGCGGCGUGCUUAACACAUGCAAGUCGAGCGGUAAGGCCCUUUCGGGGGGUACACGAGCGGCGAACGGGUGAGUAACACGUGGGUGACCUGCCCUCAGCUCUGGGAUAAGCCUGGGAAACUGGGUCUAAUACUGGAUAUGACUCCACGGUGCAUGUCGUGGGGUGGAAAGCCUUGUGCGGCUGAGGAUGGGCCCGCGGCCUAUCAGCUUGUUGGUGGGGUGAUGGCCUACCAAGGCGACGACGGGUAGCCGGCCUGAGAGGGCGACCGGCCACACUGGGACUGAGACACGGCCCAGACUCCUACGGGAGGCAGCAGUGGGGAAUCUUGCGCAAUGGGCGAAAGCCUGACGCAGCGACGCCGCGUGAGGGAUGACGGCCU
rnacentral:rRNA from 1 species